GUCUAUGGCCACACCACUCUGAACACACCUGAUCUCAUCUGACUGUGGAAGUUAAGCAGGGUUGGGCCUGGUUAGUACUUGGAUGGAAGAUGGCCUGGGAAUACCAAGUGCUGUAGGCU
rnacentral:rRNA from 1 species